UGGCGAACGGGUGAGUAACACGUGGGGAAUCUGCCUAUAAGUGGGGGAUAACAUUCGGAAACGGAUGCUAAUACCGCAUAUAUUCAAAAACCGCAUGGUUUCUGAAAGAAAGACGGCUUUGCUGUCGCUUAUAGAUGAUCCCGCGGCGUAUUAGUUAGUUGGUGGGGUAAUGGCCUACCAAGACCAUGGUACGUAGCCGACCUGAGAGGGUGAUCGGCCACACUGGGACUGAGACACGGCCCAGACUCCUACGGGAGGCAGCAGUAGGGAAUCUUCCACAAUGGGUGCAAACCUGAUGGAACAAUGCCGCGUGAAUGAAGAAGGUCUUCGGAUCGUAAAGUUCUGUUAUUAGAGAAGAACAAGUCAAGGAGUAACUGUCUUGACUUUGACGGUACCUAACCAGAAAGUCACGGCUAACUACGUGCCAGCAGCCGCGGUAAUACGUAGGUGACAAGCGUUGUCCGGAAUUAUUGGGCGUA
rnacentral:rRNA from 1 species